UGUGCUUGUCAAAGACAGGACUACCACUGUGUGUCGACCUAUGAUUGGGGAUAUCACCACAGUCAACUAACUUAAUGUUAUUUUAUUGAACCCUCCUCACUUAACACUAGUCGAUAUUCGUAGCUGUGCCGUUUCCAUGGUUACCACGUGUAGCGCACCCACUGUUUACUCGCCCAGUGCUUUCCUGAUCACAAGGGGAGCGCAGUGAGAGCCGCAGAUCAGACUCGACACCAGACGUGACAGUACUUCGCUCUGUUGUCCUCAAAGGCAUUCCCAUUUUACUUUGUGACGACUCCAGUGAAUUCUUCAAGACAUGCUCUGAUACAGCGAGAGACGAGGCCCUAGAAUGCAUCACUGUUGGUGUGCUGACAGUUGUCAGUGAAGAUCGUCCUCACGAGGGUCCGAGUUCAGUGGACCUCCAGCCCAUCUCCACUGCCAUCAUUCUGGAGGGAGGUAUUGUCAUGGAUCGAAUUAAAAACUUGCCUCAGGCAGUUUGUCUGUUAUUUGGGCUUACAUAUGCUUUGCAUUGGGAUUACCCAAAAUGCAUGGCAAAUACACUCAACUUCAUUCAGACUGUGAUGCUUGGACUGGGAAAGAAAAACCUCCCAUCAAAACUGUUAACUCUGAAGAACAGUCUACUGGGUUAGACCAGUAAAGAGCCUUCUUGGACUGAUGCUCGCUUUGGGACACAAAAGCAUUUGUUGUACUUUCAGUUUUGAUCAGAAAUGCAAAGUCCUGUAAUUAUCAGGUGUUUACCUGUUUAAUAUUGUGAGACUGUUACAUGCAUAGAAUUAGCUCACAAAAAUGUUGGUUUAUUUUUGCCUUGUCCGUGUCAUGUUCUACAGUCAAAUCAAACCACAAGUUUGUUGUUAAGCUGCUGUUUUGUACUUGAAUGUACAAGAAAGUGAUACUUGGGAACAGAACACUUGAAGCUGAAUAAUAGAUUUAAUGCAUAUUGUUAUUACAAUAGCCUAACAGACAGAUCACCCUAUGAGCAAUUUUACAAUUAGCUUUAAAAUACAUUAAAUGUGACAAGAGGAUGGAGAACAGUAAUUUUUAUUGAUUAUUGUAAGGUUAUUACAUGAGUAAUAAAACACACAUUUUAUAUUGGAGAAAUGGAAUCAAAAAUAAUAACAAUAUCAAAUGUUAAUUGUUCAGCCUAGAUCUGUCAAUGAUGCAAUUAUUAUUUUUUAAUAAAUGUUGUAAUGCAGCUGAAUCAACCCAGUGAGUUUUCUUUUAAAGUAUAUUUUUGUGGUGUUUUUGCCUUUAUUAGGUAAUAACAGCUAAAA